UACAUCCCUCUUCUGCCUUUGAGCAGGACUUUAAAACUCUAUGACUCUAGUAAAAUCAAGAGUAUUUUUACAACCAAGACGAGUUUUUACAAUGGUUUUACUCCACAUGGUAAAAAAGAAAGAAGGAAAAAAAUGAUGAAGCUCCCUGAAUUACUGGAUGGGAAACACUGGCUUCUUUAAUGCAGGAAUGCAGACUGGCUUCGCAGUUCUUGAAGGAGAAAUGCAUAACCUCUUCCUCUCCAUGCUUUUGGCUGGAGACACCCUGUGGCAGCUAGAAAAAGUUUGCAAGCGCAACUUUAGGGACAGGAGACGGGGCUCUUCACCAACAGACCCACGAAAAGAAGUGCCCGCUUCACCCUUCCCCAUUCGCGCCGCCCUCCUUUCCCUCUAGCGGGGUGAUGGGCAGGAGGCGACACUCUUGGGACGCGGUAGCCCAGGCGGAUCCCCCGGAAUCCCGUCGGGCUCGAGCAGCACGCAGCUCUCCCUCUGGCAAAGCCUCCUCUGCCUUGGCCAUCCACCUCCCGGAAAAGAAAAAGGAAAGAUCGAGCCUCUAAACCGUCCUUUUCCCCCUCCCCCUCUUCCCGGGGGAGCUAAGGAAGAAAGUACCGUUCUGUGAUUCACUGGAGAGAAAAGAGGGAGGAGGCAAAAGAACUCGGAGUGCCAAAGCUAAAUAAGUUAGCUGAGAAAACGCACGCAGCUUGCAGCGCCUGCGCCGGGUGCGCCAACUACGCAAAGACCAAGCGGGCUCCGCGCGGACCGGCGGCGCGGCUAGGCACCCGGCUUUGGCCUUCAGGAUCCCUAGCAGCCGCGAAAAGGAAUUGCUGCCCCGAGUUUCUGCAGAGGUGGAGGGAGAUCCGGAAACGGCUUCUUCCUCACUUCGCCACCUGGUGAGUGUCGGGGAGAUUGGCAAACGCCUAGGAAAGGACUGGGGAAAAUAGCCCUGGGAAAGUGGAGAAGGUGAUCAGCAGGCCGGUCCACUACGGCAGUUUAUCUGUCUGAUCAGAGCCAGACGCGACGCGUCCACUUGGCAGUUCUUUCCAGGUGUGGAGACCGCAGGACAGACGGCCGAUCCCGCCGCCCUCCGUACCAGCACUCCCAGGACAGUCAGCCUCGCUCCCCAACGUCCAGGGCGCUCUGGCCACGAAAAGUUCCUGUCCAGUGUGAUUUUCAAUUCCUUGCUUGGUUUUUUUCUCCAGAGAACUUUUGGGUGGAGAUAUUAACUUUUUUCUUUUUUUUCCUUGGUGGAAGCUGCUCUAGGGAGUGGGUAGGAGGAGGAGAAAGUGAAAUAUGCUGGAGAAGAGCGAGCCCUCCUUGUUCUUCCGGAGUCCCAUCCAUUAAGCCAUCACUUCUGGAAGAUUUAAGCUGUCGGACAUGGUGACAGCUGAGAGGAGAGGAGGAUUUCUUGCCAGGUGGAGAGUCUUCACCGUCUGUUGGGUGCAUGUGUGCGCCCGCAGCGGCGCGGGGCGCGUGGUUCUCCGCGUGGAGUCUCACCUGGGACCCGAGUGAAUGGCUCCCAGGGGCUGUGCGGGGCAUCCGCCUCCGCCUUCUCCACAGGCCUGGGUCUGUCCUGGAAAGAUGCUAGCAAUGGGGGCGCUGGCAGGAUUCUGGAUCCUCUGCCUCCUCACUUACGGUUACCUGUCCUGGGGCCAGGCCUUAGAAGAGGAGGAAGAAGGGGCCUUACUAGCUCAAGCUGGAGAGAGACUAGAGCCCAGAACAAAUUCCACCUCCCAGCCCCAUCUCAUUUUCAUCCUAGCGGAUGAUCAGGGAUUUAGAGAUGUGGGUUACCACGGAUCUGAGAUUAAAACACCCACUCUUGACAAGCUCGCUGCCGAAGGAGUUAAACUGGAGAACUACUAUGUCCAGCCUAUUUGCACACCAUCCAGGAGUCAGUUUAUUACUGGAAAGUAUCAGAUACACACCGGACUUCAACAUUCUAUCAUAAGACCUACCCAACCCAACUGUUUACCUCUGGACAAUGCCACCCUACCUCAGAAACUGAAGGAGGUUGGAUAUUCAACGCAUAUGGUCGGAAAAUGGCACUUGGGUUUUUACAGAAAAGAAUGCAUGCCCACCAGAAGAGGAUUUGAUACCUUUUUUGGUUCCCUUUUGGGAAGUGGGGAUUACUAUACACACUACAAAUGUGACAGUCCUGGGAUGUGUGGCUAUGACUUGUAUGAAAAUGACAAUGCUGCCUGGGACUAUGACAAUGGCAUAUACUCCACACAGAUGUACACUCAGAGAGUACAGCAAAUCUUAGCUUCCCAUAACCCCACAAAGCCUAUAUUUUUAUAUAUUGCCUAUCAAGCUGUUCAUUCACCACUGCAAGCUCCUGGCAGGUAUUUUGAACACUACCGAUCCAUUAUCAACAUAAAUAGGAGGAGAUAUGCUGCCAUGCUUUCCUGCUUAGAUGAAGCAAUCAACAACGUGACAUUGGCUCUAAAGACUUAUGGUUUCUAUAACAACAGCAUUAUCAUUUACUCUUCAGAUAAUGGUGGCCAGCCUACGGCAGGAGGGAGUAACUGGCCUCUCAGAGGUAGCAAAGGAACAUAUUGGGAAGGAGGGAUCCGGGCUGUAGGCUUUGUGCAUAGCCCACUUCUGAAAAACAAGGGAACAGUGUGUAAGGAACUUGUGCACAUCACUGACUGGUACCCCACUCUGAUUUCACUGGCUGAAGGACAGAUUGAUGAGGACAUUCAACUAGAUGGCUAUGAUAUCUGGGAGACCAUAAGUGAGGGUCUUCGCUCACCCCGAGUAGAUAUUUUGCAUAACAUUGACCCCAUAUACACCAAGGCAAAAAAUGGCUCCUGGGCAGCAGGCUAUGGGAUCUGGAACACUGCAAUCCAGUCAGCCAUUAGAGUGCAGCACUGGAAAUUGCUUACAGGAAAUCCUGGCUACAGCGACUGGGUCCCCCCUCAGUCUUUCAGCAACCUGGGACCGAACCGGUGGCACAAUGAACGGAUUACCUUGUCAACUGGCAAAAGUGUAUGGCUUUUCAACAUCACAGCCGACCCAUAUGAGAGGGUGGACCUAUCUAACAGGUAUCCAGGAAUCGUGAAGAAGCUCCUACGGAGGCUCUCACAGUUCAACAAAACUGCAGUGCCGGUCAGGUAUCCCCCCAAAGACCCCAGAAGUAACCCUAGGCUCAAUGGAGGGGUCUGGGGACCAUGGUAUAAAGAGGAAGCCAAGAAAAAGAAGCCAAGCAAAAAUCAGGCUGAGAAAAAGCAAAAGAAAAGCAAAAUAAAGAAGAAGAAACAGCAGAAAGCAGUCUCAGGUAAACCAGCAAAUUUGGCUCGAUAAUAUCGCUGGCCUAAGCGUCAGGCUUGUUUUCAUGCUGUGCCACUCCAGAGACUUCUGCCACCUGGCCGCCACACCGAAAACUGUCCUGCUCAGUGCCAAGGUGCUACUCUUGCAAGCCACGCUUAGAGAGAGUGGAGAUGUUUAUUUCUCUUGCCCCUUUAGAAAACGUGAAAUUCCUGGGACCUAAAUAUCCAGCCCCAAUACAUGUUAUAGAAGACUACCACCAGGGGACAUGCUAGCAGGUUUGUUUCAACAGGUUGAAGCUGAAUGUAAUUAAUUUUAUAAUUUUUAAUAGUUCAAAUCCAGUUUUUUUUAAUUAAAUUAUGAAACAAAGGUGAUGUCAAUAAUCAUAUUGAAUGUUAAGUGCAAUAAAAUCUGCAUAUGCACUGAAUUCAAAAUUGAGUCAUGUCCAAUAUUACAGUCUAACCUCAAUUCCUAUCAAAUAAAUUAAAAAAUAGUGGGUCCCAUAUUUAUUGCUUUCUGAUUAUAGGGUCUUCUACGGAGGUAACAUGAUUCCCCUUGAAUUCUUCUCCAUUGUUCUUAUCUUUGCAGUGACUAUCCUUGUAUUUCUCUGCAUUGCUCCACUCCACCCCAUCACUAUUUCCUCUGCCUAUUCAUCUCUCCCUGCUUCUCUGGCUCUUUUCUCUUUGUCAUCUUUAUUUUCCCUUCUCCCUCUUUCAGUAAUUAUAAUCUCUUUAAUAUUUUUAAAAACCAAACUCAUAUGUUGAAAUUAAUAAAUUAGAGUCUCUGUAUCUAUCGUUAAACAAUCUUUGGGCAAACUUUUAUACUAGGAUGCAUAUUUCCACAUAGCCACUUAUAUUCCAGCCUAAUCUAAGAGUGAAAAUGACUGUUGACCAGAAAUUAAUACUUUUACUAAUAGUCAAAAAUAGUGAUCAUAUUUCAACAAUAGAUAACUUUAUUUACUAUUACCAGAAAAAUUCUUAAUUAUCUUUGUGUGUAUAUAUUUAAUUAUAAUCACACUUGAUUGGAUUAGAGUUUCCAACUAAUUAUUGCUGUUAGUGGCUAUUAAAUAAGAAAAUGUGUUUGCAGCUCAAACAUUUGUCUUGUUAUGUUUCCUAGUGGAAAAAGGCAUAUACUGACAGGAUGCCAAUUUGUUUAAAGUGAAUUCAUGUUACUACCCUGCACAAUAAAAUAAUAUACAAGGCUGUGCUUUGUGAAUUAUGAGUUAUAUUAGUGAAUAUCAUUUCCUGAUUGCCUGCAUUUUUCCUAUUUUAUAUACAUGAUCAUUUUUGUAAGUAAAAUUAAUAUAAAAUUUAAAUACUUGUGAAUAAAGAUGUAGCACUGUUUUCUAUUAAACUACACUAAUCCUUUCAAGCAAAAAGUAGUUUAUUAAAUCAUAUUCUACUAAUAUGGUGUUGUUGCGUUUGUCAUAUUACCUAAUUAACACUGUGUUAUGGGAGAAUUUUUGUAGCAUAUAUUUUGAAUUAUUUUUAAUUGUCUUAAGAUAACUGAAUUUGAAGAAAUAAUAGCUAUUUGUUAUCUAACUUCACUUGUAAAUUUUGCCUACUCAGUCUUACUAAAAACAAAGUAAAAAUUUUAAUAAACUUCAGGCUAUUAAUAUACUAUAUUUCUCCUUUUCCCUCUAACCACCUUCUGACCAUUAUUUCUACUAUAAAUUAUUUUGUUUUCUUUACAAUUCAGAAAUAAAUCUUGCUUUUCAUCAAGAUUUAUUUGUUGUGAACAAUUCAUUAUGAAACAAUACUGUGAAAAAUGUUCUAAUUUCCUUAUAACUUGUUAUUAAUGCUAAUUUACUCCAUGAUUUAUUUAACCUUUAAAGCAUCUUUCUCUUUUGACAUUUAUCUUUAAAAUCCCUUUGUAAGCAGCUGUUUACUGAGAUGAAGCAUUUUAUUAGCUUAUUUGGAUGCUGUACAUGCUCAUGAAAUACUGCCAAAUAAAUCCUUGAAAAUUUACCUGGGAGUUGCUGUCUUUUCUCUUACACUAAAAAGUAUUGUCUAUACAUUUCUGAAACCUGACUUCUAAAGUCUGUCAUUUCAAUUAACUAUUCUCAAAUGAUCUAACGUGCCUUUAUCCUAGAGAAUGUACUGUUAGUAGUGUUCCUAUUAUUAUUUAUUUUUUCUUUAGAGAACUUUGAAGUAUCCUUCAAGAUACGAUUCUACUAUAGCUCUUAUAAAUAAUAGCAAUAGGGUCAAAUUUGUCCUAUUUUAGUCAUUCACCUAGCUCUCACCUCACAUUCACAGCAUGAGUUGUCUUUGAAAUUCUCUAGUAGCAGGGAUUAAGCCAGCAUUACAGAAUGAACUCCAUAUAAUUGUGUGUGAAAAGAGAGAAAAUGCCAAUUACAUAAAAACAUCAAUAACUUCAUUUCAUUUAUUUUGCUCCCUUUCUCCAGAUCAAACAGGCAAUCUUGAUAUAUAAGAGAAACCAAAAUAGGAAGCUAGAGGCUUCAUGUUGCUGGUAUCCUCUACAGAGAAAAAAAACAACAACAAAACACCAAUGUUUUAUUAGUCAGACCAGGUUUUUCGGGGUUUUUUUAAGAUGAGAAAAAUGACAACUUUGCAGGAAAGCUGUGGUGCUCUUAGACCAGCCAUUUGUACAGCGGCUUAGUUUUCUACAAAAAGAGAGAGUUGGACUAAAUCAAAACAAGGCAGCAAAAGGCAAAAUUGAUUUUUCACAAAUCAUAGUGUUUAAAAAUAGAUGUCACUGAUCCCCUCGAGCUUGAUGCAUCCCAUCUGAGUCCCACCUGAGACUAACCUCAUCCUUUGGCUGUAGGUGGUUAACAGAGCAACAAAGAAUAAAGAGCCUGAAAUCAAUCAAAUGAUGAGUUCAACCUUACCUCUCCUCUCAAUACCUCACACUUAUUCUCCAGCCUGGAGAGACUCAUAGCCAGGGAAGUUGCUGUACCUAUGUGUUUAUAAAAAUAUAAAAUGAAAAGUACCUAAGUGCAAAUUAUGGUAGAAUAUUAUUGCUAAUAAUAGAAAUAUAUUAUUCUUACUUAUCAUAGUUAAUGAAAGUACAGUUGCUAACAGACAUAUUUAAACAUCAUGUUAAACACAUUACUGUAUAAGAGGCAUUAGCUUAAAGUCAUUAAAGCUUAUGAGUAGAUUAAAAUGUUUUUAAAACUGCUAUAGGUGACUAAUCAAAGUUACUGGGAGUCAAAUUUCCGCUCAGAAUAAGAAAGAACUUUCUAGCAAAACUGCAGCUUUCAGUGGAAUGUGGUGUCAUCUGAAGACAAUGUGUUUCCUCAUACUGAAAGAAACCUAAUAGAAGUAGAAUCAUUGUAUGCCUGGAAGAUAUCCAGUCUCCACAUGCUAAUAAACUAGAGAAGCAUCCAGAGCGUAGACUGCUGUGAGACCUUGAGUCAAAAGCCGCCUUACACAAGCAACCAGAAAAAAAUGAGCUCCCACUGUUUCCAGUUGGAAAUGCAGAAAUCACCCGUCUUCUACCUUGAUCUCGCUGGGAGCUGCAGACCGGAGCUGUUCCUAUUCAGCCAUCUUGGAAGCCCCAACCACUUUUUAAUUUGAGCUUUUUCCAUUUUUUAUAUGGUUUGGCUGUGUCUCCACCCAAAUCUCAUCUUGAAUUGUAGUUCUUAUAAUCCCCAUGUGUCAUGGAAGGGAUCGGGUGGGGGUAAUUGAAUCAUGGUGGCAGUUACGUCCAUGCUGUUCUCAUGAUAGUGAGUGAAUUCUCAUGAGAUCAGAUGGCUUUAUAAAAAGCUUUCCCCCCAACUUUGCUCUGCACUUCUCCUUGCUGCUGCCAUGUGAAGAAGGACAUGUUUGCUUCCCCUUCUGCGAUGAUUGUAAGUUUCCUGAGGCUUCCCCAGCCCUGCAGAACUGUGAAUCAAUUAAACCUCUUUCCUUUAUAAAUUAUCCUGUUUAGGGUAUUUCUUCAUAGGAGUGUAAGAACGAACUAAUACAGUUUCUGUUUUUGGAGUUUUUUUUUUUUUUUAUGGAGUUUCACUUUUGUUGCCCAGGCUGGAGUGCAGUGACGCAAUCUCAGCCACUGCAACCUCUGCCUCCCAGGUUCAAGUAAUUCUCCUGCCUCAGCCUCCCAGGUAGCUGGGAUUGCAGGCACCCACCACCAUGCCCAGCUAAUUUUUUGGAUUUUUAGUAGAGACACGGUUUCACCAUGUUGACCAGGCUAGUCUCAAACUCCUGACCUCAGGUGAUCCUCCCGCCUCAGCCUCCCAAAAUGCUGGGAUAACAGGUGUGAGCCCUGGUGCCCCGCCUGAUACAGUUUUAUAAUGGAAUCAUGUCUGCUUUAACAGACAACUUCUUUGAAUUUAAUUUAAUCAUUUUUAUUUUCUUUUCUGAUGUUACCUCAUACACUGGGCCCUGAGAAGCCUUCUCACAGCCCAGGGCCUCCUCCCCAGCCUUGCCCUUUUCCAUGUCACCUCUGAUAUUGCUAAAAGUAUUCUUGUUUUUGAUAACAUCAAGAUAUUUAAAGCCCAUUCUUAUUUAUCUGAUCUUAAAACAUUGAAUCAGCUAUACUUCAAAAAGCCCAGGUUUUUAGGAAUAAAGAAUAUGAGAAACCAUGAUAUUGACAUUAGCUUAUACAUCAAACUCUUCCAAGACUAUAGGUGGCAGGAAGAGGGACACCAGAUGACCCAAGAAGUGUCUGCUUGAAUCAUUAAAGCAUGUUGAACAUUGGAAUAGGAAAGUAUGUUCACAAAUAACAUAAUGAUGUACAAUAUUUUAGCUUUUCCAAAAUGAUAAAAAAUGAACAAAAGUGAACUUUUAUGACAGUAAUGUUUUUUAGCCUAUUGAAAUGAAUCAUAUACGUCCACUAGAGUUUUCUGGAAAAGAAGAAUAGGAAAUCAGUUAACAAUAGUGUUUGCCAAAAAAGAAUUCUGCAUUCCUCUUUUAUAUAUUCAAACCUGAAGAAUGCAACUUGAGGAACUUAAAUUAAGAUUUGUUUCUUUCCAUGAAUGAUAGGGUUUUUAAAUAGGUGGGUUGGGAAAGACAUCCUAUGCAUUUUAAUCAGUUAAUUACUUUAGAAAAAAAAUGCAAAAUUAAUAAUUGAGGGAACCAAGAUCUCAGGUGACAAUCUAAAAUUCUGUGGUCAUAAGUAAUAUCCCACCACAAAGAUAAGUCAACCCUUGCGUUUUUAUCACCACACAACAGUUAAAAUCUAAGCCUCUGUCACAUCAAUUAUCUGGCCAAAUAGCCAGUGGAAAAGUAAAAGGUCAAAGUAAUUUGAAAAGAGUUUCACGAAUGUUUGCUUUUGAAUAAUACAUAAGGUAACAGGUAUUUUCAAAAUGAAGCUCUAGGAAUGUAUCUUGAAGACACAGUUCUUCCAUAAA